rnacentral:rRNA from 1 species
UAAGGAAUAUUGGUCAAUGGACGCAAGUCUGAACCAGCCAUGCCGCGUGGAGGAUGAAGGUCCUCUGGAUUGUAAACUUCUUUUAUCUGGGACGAAACACUUCUUUUCUAAGAGGCCUGACGGUACCAGAUGAAUAAGCACCGGCUAACUCCGUGCCAGCAGCCGCGGUAAUACGGAGGGUGCAAGCGUUAUCCGGAUUCACUGGGUUUAAAGGGUGCGUAGGUGGGUAUGUAAGUCAGUGGUGAAAUCCCCGAGCUUAACUUGGGAACUGCCAUUGAUACUAUAUAUCUUGAAUACCGUAGAGGUAAGCGGAAUAUGUCAUGUAGCGGUGAAAUGCUUAGAUAUGACAUGGAACACCAAUUGCGAAGGCAGCUUACUAUGCGGUGAUUGACACUGAGGCACGAAAGCGUGGGUAGCAAACA